UCGAGCGGCGAACGGGUGAGUAACACGUGAGUAACCUGCCUUCCACUCCGGGAUAAGCCUGGGAAACCGGGUCUAAUACCGGAUACGACCGCCUCGCGCAUGCGGGGUGGUGGAAAGCGUUUAGUGGUGGGGGAUGGGCUCGCGGCCUAUCAGCUUGUUGGUGGGGUAGUGGCCUACCAAGGCGACGACGGGUAGCCGGCCUGAGAGGGCGACCGGCCACACUGGGACUGAGACACGGCCCAGACUCCUACGGGAGGCAGCAGUGGGGAAUCUUGCGCAAUGGGCGGAAGCCUGACGCAGCGACGCCGCGUGGGGGAUGACGGCCUUCGGGUUGUAAACCUCUUUCAGCAGGGACGAAGUUGGACGUGUACCUGCAGAAGAAGCGCCGGCUAACUACGUGCCAGCAGCCGCGGUAAUACGUAGGGCGCGAGCGUUGUCCGGAAUUAUUGGGCGUAAAGAGCUCGUAGGUGGCUGGUCGCGUCUGCCGUGAAAGCCCAUGGCUUAACUGUGGGUCUGCGGUGGAUACGGGCCGGCUUGAGGUAGGUAGGGGCAAGCGGAAUUCCUGGUGUAGCGGUGAAAUGCGCAGAUAUCAGGAGGAACACCGGUGGCGAAGGCGGCUUGCUGGGCCUAUCCUGACGCUGAGGAGCGAAAGCGUGGGGAGCGAACAGGAU
rnacentral:rRNA from 1 species